rnacentral:rRNA from 1 species
UACGUAGGGGGCUAGCGUUGUCCGGAUUCAUUGGGCGUAAAGGGUGCGUAGGCGGCGCCAUAAGUCAGGUGUGAAAUCUCGGGGCUCAACCCCGAAACUGCACUUGAUACUGUGGUGCUGGAGUACUGGAGAGGAGAUUGGAAUUUACGGUGUAGCAGUGAAAUGCGUAGAUAUCGUAAGGAAGACCAGUGGCGAAGGCGAAUCUCUGGACAGUUACUGACACUGAGGCACGAAGGCCAGGGGAGCAAACGGG